CAGGCGCUUGUUUAUCAAAAACAUGUCUUUUUGAAAAUAAUUUAAAGUCUAACCUGCCCACUGAUUAAUUAAUUAAAGGGCCGCAGUAUUUUGACUGUGCAAAGGUAGCAUAAUCAUUUGUCUUUUAAUUAAAGGCUGGAAUGAAUGGUUGGACGUAAUAUUAACUGUCUCAUUUUAAUAAAAUUAAAAAUUUAGUUUUUUAGUCAAAAAGCUUAAAUAAUAUUAAAAGACGAGAAGACCCUAUAGAUCUUUAUAAUUAAUAUUAUAAUAAUUUUAUAGAAAUUUAAAAUAUUAUUAUAAUGUGACUUAUUUUAUUGGGGUGAUAGAAAAAUUUAAUUAACUUUUUUUAAUUAAUAAACAAAAAUUAUUGAUUUGAUUGAUCCAUAAUAUUAUGAUUAAAAGAUUAAGAUACCUUAGGGAUAACAGCGUAAUUUUUUUAGAGAGUUCUUAUCGAUAAAAAAGAUUGCGACCUCGAUGUUGAAUUAAAGUAAUUUUUAAAUGUAGAAGUUUAAAAUAAUAGGUCUGUUCGACCUUUAAAUCUUUACAUGAUCUGAGUUCAACCCGG
rnacentral:rRNA from 1 species